rnacentral:lncRNA from 13 species
AUGGCUUUAAUAUGCACGGAGAAGAAAAAGCAUCCAGAACAAUGGGCGAGAAGAAAUAAAAACUUGUUGUCUAAAUCAAAGGAUUGGUAUUCUCCAAAUCGUUGCUACCACAUUGAGCCAUUUUCUCUGAUGUUGUCUCUACAAAGCAAAGUGAAAUGGACAGUUUUCCAGCUAAUUUGUUUUGUAUGGACCGCCAAGCUGGACACUUGCAGACCACAAAGUCUGUGAAUGAGAACCUGGGAGCUGGCAUGAGAAGAACUGAGCUGGAGCAUUUCGCCAUCACUGAAUAAAUAACUUACCCUCUUGAAUUCUUCCCUGUAC